rnacentral:rRNA from 1 species
UACGGAAGGCAGCAGUGGGGAAUAUUGCACAAUGGGCGCAAGCCUGAUGCAGCCAUGCCACGUGUAUGAAAAAGGCCUUCGGGUUGUAAAGUACUUUCAGUCGUGAGGAAGGUGUUAAGGUUAAUAACCUUAGCAAUUGACGUUAGCGACAGAAGAAGCACCGGCUAACUCCGUGCCAGCAGCCGCGGUAAUACGGAGGGUGCGAGCGUUAAUCGGAAUUACUGGGCGUAAAGGGCACGCAGGCGGUUAAUUAAGUUGGAUGUGAAAUCCCCGGGCUUAACCUGGGAAUGGCAUUCAAGACUGGUUAGCUAGAGUCUUGUAGAGGGGGUAGAAUUCCAUGUGUAGCGGUGAAAUGCGUAGAGAUGUGGAGGAAUACCGGUGGCGAAGGCGGCCCCUGGACAAAGACUGACGCUCAUGUGCGAAAGCGUGGGGAGCAAACAGGGAUUAGAUACC